CGACAAGCUCGGGUACCCGGGAUAUUCCUCCGGAGGACGGCGGGUCACCCCGGUGGCCCAAAACGAUGUGUUCUUUUUUGCAAUGGGGAUGGAAGAGUGGUUUAAAAUAUAAUUCCAGGGCUUGGCCUUUUGGAUGCUACCUGGGAAAAGAAACAGGGAAGAUUUCUUCUAAUAUGGUUGCAGAAAGACUGUGUCUUCUCUGCUGCAUGAGGCCCAAGUGGCUGUGUCUCAGAUCUGUCUCCCUGUGACCUACACCUG
rnacentral:lncRNA from 1 species